GGGUGGUGAAGUCGUAACGCGGC
rnacentral:misc_RNA from 1 species